CCUACGGGAGGCAGCAGUGAGGAAUAUUGGUCAAUGGGCGUAAGCCUGAACCAGCCAAGUCGCGUGAGGGAUGAAGGUUCUAUGGAUCGUAAACCUCUUUUAUAAGGGAAUAAAGUGUGGGACGUGUCCUAUUUUGUAUGUACCUUAUUAAUAAGGAUCGGCUAACUCCGUGCCAUCAGCCGCAGUAAUACGGGGGAUCCGAGUGUUAUCCGGAGUUAUUGGGUUUAAAGGGUGCGUAGGCGGCCUUUUAAGUCAUGGGUGAAAGUCUGUGGCUCAACCAUAGAAUUGCCGUGGAAACUGGGGCUUGAGUAUGUUUGAGGCAGGCGGAAUGCGUGGUGUAGCGGUGAAAUGCUUAGAUAUCACGCAGAACCCCGAUUGCGAAGGCAGCCUGUCAAGCCAUGACUGACGCUGAUGCACGAAAGCGUGGGGAUCAAACAGGAUUAGAUACCCCAGUAGUC
rnacentral:rRNA from 1 species